AAAGCGCGAUAGGUAAUGCGAAUUGCACACGUGAGUCAUUGAAUCUUUGAACGCACAUUGCGCCAUCAGGUUCUCCUGAUGGCAUGCUUGUUGGAGCGCCGAUCUUUCUCUCAUACCACUUUAUUGAGGUACGAGGUUGUGCUCCUUGUAGGAGUCAAAAGAAUGGAAGUGCACACGUUAGAUAACUCUGUGCAGUUACUUAAAUCUUUUGGCCUCCAAUCAAGCAAGGCUACCCGCUGAACUUAA
rnacentral:misc_RNA from 1 species